UCAGCUCAGCCAUGGAGAUGCCAUCCCUUGCAUACCAAGCUCAGCACUGUUUAUGCUCUGGCUUUUAAUGAGAACAAUUAUGGGUGAAAGCAUUUUGCUGAUGAUGAAGUGCAUAUUGGCUGUGGGUUUAUGCUGUAUUCUGGAUUUAAGCUCUGCUUAAGAGUCAGUCAAGCACAGAAGACUCGAAAGAUCUGAGAGGUUCUUCCUUCAGAGAAGUGACAUGAUCUGCAGCAGAAUGAAUUUCCUGGUUUUACUUUGGUCCUGACCAGAAAGGCUUUUCAUUUCAUGAGGAUGAUGACUUCUAUUGAUUGGCAGGAUAAACCAGGAAAGCUUCUGCCUUGUCCUGCAGUGCCAGAGCCUGGUGCCAGCGUGGCUCUGUCUGUUCACACAUUUGUGAUUUCACAGGUAAUUAUGUACUGAGAGACAAGGGCUGG